AAUUUUCCAGUACACGGAGAAUAAACUCCAGUGCCCUUCAGGGGCCGACGAGGCCUAUGUGAUCUGGCCCCCUCGGACCUCUGCCCCGGCUCCUAUCACAUUCUUCCUCCUCCCUCCACUCCCAACACACAGGUCUGACGGCUGCUCCGUCAUCCCGCAGGGCUCACGGCCACCUUGGGACCUGUGGGCUGGGCUGGAGCAGUCUCGUCCAAGACACCUGCAAGGCGGGCUCUUCCUUGUCCCCAGAGAGAUCUUCCUGCCCCUCUCUCUCGAGCCCUCACCCCACCCGGCCCCCUGUCUCUCCCAUCGCCCUGUUUGAUUUCCUUCCUGCCUCUGAAAUGGCCAUGUGUAUCAGCUCUUUAGCUUAGUUACGGUCUCCCCCACUCAGACUCCAGCCCCAAGACAGCGGAGGCCCCGCCAAUCCCAUCCCAGGGCCCAGCAGGUACCUGGCGCACGGCUGGCACUCAACACUGACUUUGGAACUAGAAGGUGCCCAAACGCAGGUACUUUUCUCCAGGAUGGCACUGUUCUCUGACGACGUUCUGAGAACAAAUCUGAUCGGAGAAAAACGGCGGCCUGUUGUUUCACCGCUGGAUCAUUUUCCACCUCGCUUUGGCUUCUGAUCUGCUUUUGAGCGGAGGCACAGAGCAAGCGCGUGCUGGGAAUUAAUCAGGAAAGAGCCAUUCGAGGAGGACAGCACGGGCAGCUUCAAUGACUAGUUCUGCACAAUUACUGCCACGGAAACAUCUGGCGCCGAGAACCAGCCAUGUUGAGACAGUCAUGCAUUUUUAAUACAUCGGUAUUAAUAUUAUUCCAAUCUAAGUCAUUUGACUGACUCUGCAAGGCCAAUUCCCCGCGUGGCCCCGGUGUCGAGUGACAUACCCCUUCCAAUGAGCGCACGACUGCUCAGCAAAGAUUAAUGGCGGUACAGCUCCGUGGGUAUUUGCAUUCAUGAAGUGCUUUCCCCAGAGACAAACACCUGCCUGAGGCACCGCCGGCAGAAUGACAUUUGGAGCCAGCCCCGGCUGGGCCUACAUGCUGAAUGCCCUGGAGGGUCCGUGAGAGCAGACCCUUCCCUGGGCACCCAACUGAAGUUGGGCCAGAGGCACGAUGACUGGGCCUCAUUCAUGGGCAGCCUGGGGGGGCCAUCCUGAAGGCCCCACUCCGUAGGCUCUGUCACGAGCUAGGGGCUUUGGGCGGACCGGGAGGGGUUUACCCUGACAGUAGGCUUAUCAGGGGCGGGGGUGAGGGGGGCUUUGGGGUUGAGCCACUGCUGCCCGGGACCCACCGUGCAGGCUUCGGGACCUGGCUCAGGGGCUGACUCGUCCAGGAACCCCUCGGCCCUCCUCCCCUCCUCUGGGCUCUCGGAGCUGGGCUUACAAGCUGGAUGUGGGCAGCUGAACGUGUGGGGACGUUCAGCUGCUGAGUGUCCACAUGUGCGUGCCUGUCCUCACCUGGAUGUGAGAUCUUCAAGGACAGGGAAGAGGCCCAAUCCCUAGGUAUCUUGGGGCCUAGCUCUGGGAACUGAACGUGCUCCUUCCCGGAGCACCUGAACUUGAAUGUUUCAUGGGGAAGAGAUCUCAGUGGCCUUUCACAUGUCCCCUGAGAAGAAGGACAAUGAAAACCAUUUUUGUGAUGGAGAAACUUGAAGAAGACGGUGAGGCACCAUGACAUUUGACAAGCACCUAGUACCUGCCGGGCUCUGGGCCAAGCACUCUGACCCUCCCAACGUCACACACUCAGGACAACAGACGUGGACGGGACCUGACAGAUCGGGUCACAAGCAGCUCUAUGGCUAAAUCUGUGCCGGGCUGGCUCCCGGAGCAGUUAAAAUUUUCAGAACGAGUCAAUAAGAUCUACAAAUUGGGAGCUUUCACGUAACAAUGUGCAUUUCCGGCCUCUCUUGAACAUUGAGGCCAUCUGGCAUCAUGCGGCCAGGGCUGAAAGGCAGUGGCCGCUGCCUUGAUGGGGCACAGCUCUCCGGUGACCACAGUCUCCACUGAAAGGCAGGACCAUGUGAUGGGCACCAGACCGCGUGGUAGUCAUGUGACCACGGGCAAGAUGCCCUGCUUUUCAGUGCCUCAGUUUCUCCAUCUGUAGAAUGGAGCCCAUCACGCCAUACCCAUCUUACAGGAUGGCUGGACGGAAGAACUGGGCUGAUACGUGCAAAGUCCCUUUGCCUACUGCCUGGCACACAGUACGUGCUCACGAAAUGUAAGCUACCAUCAUGGUCUUGUACCCGUUCUACCGCCCCAGAUGUAUGUACCUGCCAAGGCUGGCACUCAGGGCUCACGUGGCCGGGAGACUCCCUGCUCCCCUUGUUCCAGGCAGAGACUGGCAGCGGCACAGGAAGAGUCCCAUCCACUCUAGCGUGGGGGGCAUCACUCUCCCUGUCUCAGGUCAGGACUCCCCUACCUCUGGGCCGAGGCACACGGGCAAUGUGGCCAGUUCACCCAGAGCCAAUUUUCAAAUGUCGUCAAGUGGUCCACAAGCUGUACAACC